rnacentral:rRNA from 1 species
CAGCCGCCGCGGUAAUCCGUAGGGUGCGAGCGUUAAUCGGAAUUACUGGGCGUAAAGCGUGCGCAGGCGGUUGUGUAAGACAGGUGUGAAAUCCCCGGGCUUAACCUGGGAACUGCGCUUGUGACUGCACAGCUAGAGUAUGGCAGAGGGGGGUGGAAUUCCACGUGUAGCAGUGAAAUGCGUAGAGAUGUGGAGGAACACCGAUGGCGAAGGCAGCCCCCUGGGCCAAUACUGACGCUCAUGCACGAAAGCGUGGGGAGCAAACAGGAUUAGAUACCCGCGUAGUCCCUGUCUCUUAUAC